AACUAAAGCUUUGUAGAAGCGCCGGCGUUUUAAUCCGAGAGAAGGUAGAGUUACCUAGUUUAUUG
rnacentral:tRNA from 1 species